CAAAGGUUAACUGGCCCAUAAAAUGUCAAGAUUUUUCCAUCUCUACGUUUGAUGUGAGUAACUAUGACCAUGUGCAGAUGAACUCCUCAGCAUUCAGAAGGUUUCAGAAACUUAACAGAAGAAAAAGGAAUGCAGCACAGCCUGUCAGGUCUUGCAUGAUCGAGCUUCUUCCUAUAUUCCUGAAAUCUUAAAGCCACACUAAGACUCGAGCCCUCAAACCAGAGCCAUCUGGAAGUCCCAAAUACCAGGUGAACUCGGUGAUCCGGUGCAGAUCUCCCAGAGCUGAUGACCCGUUCUUCUCCUCAUUAUCAACCAACAGAUCCAUCUCAGACUCUGUCAGGAACUCAGCCAUCCCCCCCCGGCUCCGCCGGGCUCGUUUUUUUG